UACGUAGGGGGCCAGCGUUGUUCGGAAUUACUGGGUGUAAAGGGUUCGUAGGCGGUGCGGCAAGUCGGGAGUGAAAUCUCUGGGCUUAACCCAGAGGCUGCUUCCGAAACUGCUGUGCUUGAGUGUGGGAGAGGCGCGUGGAAUUGCAGGUGUAGCGGUGAAAUGCGUAGAUAUCUGCAGGAACACCCGUGGCGAAAGCGACAUCCUGGACCGGUAUUGACGCUGAGGCGCGAAAGCCAGGGGAGCAAACGGG
rnacentral:rRNA from 1 species